GCUUACCCUCCCAGCAGCUGCUGCCCCGACCGCCACACCUCUCUGUAGAGGAGCACCGAGCUUCAGAAGCUCCUGCCGGCAGGAGCCCCCGAAUGCUGCACCCAGCCACCCAGCAGAGCCCGUUCAUGGUUGAUCUCCACGACCAGGUGCACCAGGGACCUGUCCCUCUGUCCUACACAGUCACCACAGUGACAACCCAAGGCUUCCCUUUGCCUGCAAGCCAACAUAUCCCUGGCUGCAGUGCCCAGCAGCUCCCAGCAUGCUCCGUGAUGUUCAGUGGGCAGCACUACCCCCUCUGCUGCCUCCCGCCUCCGCUGAUCCAGGCGUGCACCAUGCAGCAGCUCCCCGUGCCCUACCACACCUACCCCCACCUCAUCUCCAGUGACCACUACAUCCUUCACCCCC
rnacentral:lncRNA from 1 species